CCUCGUCGAUCUGCUGCGGGCAGAUGAAGUGGAUGUGCGUGUCGAUGCCGCCGGCCGUCGCGAUGAGCCCUUCGCCCGCGAUCACCUCGGUGGCGGCGCCGAUCGCGAUCGUCACGCCCGGCUGGAUGUCGGGGUUGCCCGCCUUGCCGAUUGCGGCGAUGCGCCCGUCCUUGAUCGCGAUGUCGGCCUUCACAAUGCCCCAAUGGUCGAGGAUCACGGCGUUCGUCACGACCGUGUCCGCCACGAGCGCGGCUACGCGCUGCGACUGGCCCAUGCCGUCGCGUAUG
rfam:Paraburkholderia caryophylli strain Ballard 720 genome assembly, contig: Ga0139045_101